rnacentral:rRNA from 1 species
AGUGAACGCUGGCGGCGUGCUUAACACAUGCAAGUCGAACGAGAACGGGUUAUAGCUUGCUAUAAUUGUCAGCUAAGUGGCGCACGGGUGAGUAAUGUAUAGGUAAUAUGCCUCUUACUAAGGGAUAACAAAUGGAAACGUUUGCUAAUACCUUAUACUCCUUAUUAACAUAAGUUAAUAAGGGAAAGAUUUAUUACUAAGAGAUUAGCCUGUAUUGUAUCAGUUAGUUGGUGUGGUAAUGGCUUACCAAGACAAUGACACAUAACUGGUUUGAGAGGAUGAUCAGUCACACUUGAACUAGGACACGGUCCAGACUCUUACGGGAGGCAGCAGUGGGGAAUAUUGCACAGUGGACGAAAGUCUGAUGCAGCAACGCCGCGUGGAGGAUGACACAUUUCGGUGCGUAAACUCCUUUUAUAUGAGAAGAUAAUGACGGUAUUAUAUGAAUAAGCACCGGCUAACUCCGUGCCAGCCGCCGCGGUAACAC